rnacentral:rRNA from 1 species
AGCAGCCGCGGUAAUUCCAGCUCCAAUAGCGUAUAUUAAAGUUGUUGCAGUUAAAAAGCUCGUAGUUGAAUUUCGGGAUUGACACAUCGGUCGUGCCUUAAGGGGUAUGAACUGGUGUAGUCAAUUUCUCACCUUCUGGAGAACCGCGAUGCCCUUAAUUGGGUGUCACGGGGAACCAGGACCUUUACUUUGAAAAAAUUAGAGUGUUUAAAGCAGGCAUUUUGCUUGAAUACAUUAGCAUGGAAUAAUAAAAUAGGACGGCAUGAUUCUAUUUUGUUGGUUUCUAGGAUCACCGUAAUGAUUAAUAGGGAUAGUUGGGGGCAUUAGUAUUCAAUUGUCAGAGGUGAAAUUCUUGGAUUUAUUGAAGACUAACUACUGCGAAAGCAUUUGCCAAGGAUGUUUUCAUUAAUCAAGAACGAAAGUUAGGGGAUCGAAGACGAUCAGAUACCG